AUUUGAAAAAUUGGAGUUUUCAGACUAUAAAAGUGCUCAUACAAUUUUAAUUUCUACACGCUAACAAUGAAAAAUAUGGCUAAAACUCUCAUGUUUUUUCACAUUAUGUUUAUUUUAAUUUUCACAUUUAUCAUUCUCAUCGAAGGCCUUCGUCCACUAAGAAUUAAUGGACAAAAUCCUCCGUGUUUAAAGGACGAAGAUUGUCCUACUUAUUUGUGUCUCUAUCCUUGGACUCCUAGGUGUGUAAAGGAUCAUUGUCGAUGUGGAUAAUGAUGAUUCCAUCCUUGAAAAUUAUAAAAAUGGCCAUUAGUACUAUACUACUACUAUUAAUAAAUUUUCCCUUCAGCACCUUUUUAUCAAGUUCAAAAAUAAAGUUGUGGUAAUUCUAUGAGUAUAAUCGUAUUUGUAAUUAAUAUACGUUGGUACGUUGGCUUUUUACAUAGGUGUUUCGCUUAUAUAAAACGUCUUUAUUUUGUAAUUUUGCUUUUUUAGUCUCUAUUUAUUUUGUGCAGAGAUCGAUUAUUAAUAAUAUAAUAUGUUGGUGCGUUUUUGUGCAGAGAUCGAUUAUUAAUAAUAUAAUAUGUUGGCUUUUUUCAUA